UACGAAGGGGGCUAGCGUUGCUCGGAAUCACUGGGCGUAAAGCGCACGUAGGCGGAUCCUUAAGUCGAACGUGAAAUCCCCGGGCUCAACCCGGGAACUGCGUCCGAUACUGGAAGGCUUGAAUCCGGGAGAGGGAUGUGGAAUUCCAGGUGUAGCGGUGAAAUGCGUAGAUAUCUGGAGGAACACCGGUGGCGAAGGCGACAUCCUGGACCGGUAUUGACGCUGAGGCGCGAAAGCCAGGGGAGCAAACGGG
rnacentral:rRNA from 1 species